rnacentral:piRNA from 1 species
UAAUCUUUUCAGAAAACAAUC